rnacentral:rRNA from 1 species
UACGUAGGGGGCAAGCGUUAUCCGGAUUUACUGGGUGUAAAGGGAGCGUAGGCGGCCGUGCAAGUCAAGCGUGAAAGCCCGGGGCUCAACCCCGGGACUGCGCUUGAAACUGCGUGGCUCGAGUGCGGGAGAGGCAAGCGGAAUUCCUGGUGUAGCGGUGAAAUGCGUAGAUAUCAGGAAGAACACCGGUGGCGAAGGCGGCUUGCUGGACCGAGACUGACGCUGAGGCUCGAAAGCGUGGGGAGCAAAC